AUGGAAGUAGGAUGCAAAUUCUGUGGGAUUACCACGACAUAAGGCCUCAAUAGAAGUUGAUACUUUCUUUUCACUUAUCUUUUCAUACUUUUGCUUCUUGUUCCCUGCUUUUAGUCCUUGCCACGGAAGACUUCCCCUUAAAAAAUACAUCAGAACAUAUCCAAGUGAUUCUAAAUCAUCCCUGCGACUUUGUUCAAUGCCAAGAUGAGUAUUCAUGCUAGCAUAUCUUGCAGUUCCAGUCAAAUUCUUAUUUUCUCUGUAAGGAAUAUGCUGAUGCGUUGAAGUGUCUCUGUACUUCUUAGCCAGACCAAAGUCAAUGAUAUAGACCUGAUUGGCACGCCUCCCUAAACCCAUUAAGAAGUUGUCUGGCUUGAUAUCUCGAUGGAGGAAUGAUUUGGAAUGAACAAAUUCAACCCGAUUAAUCAUCUGGUCUGCAAGCAUCAGAACAGUCUUCAGAGACAGUUUCCUACUGCAAAAGUUGAACAAAUCUUCAAGACUAGGUCCCAGUAAAUCCAUCACGAGGAUAUUAUAUUCCCCUUCAACACCAAACCAUCUAACAUUUGGAAUUCCAGUUCCUCCUUGCAGAAUCUUAUAUAACUUUGACUCAUACAGCAACUGAGGAUGCUUUGUCUUCACAGUUUCGAGCUUAAUGGCAAUUUCCUCGUUUGUUUGAAUAUUAGUACCGAGAUAGAUCUCUCCAAAUGAUCCACUACCGAUCUUGCGACCGAUACGAAAUUUGUUACCAACGCG
rnacentral:misc_RNA from 1 species